GACGAACGCUGGCGGCGUGCCUAAUACAUGCAAGUAGAACGCUGAAGAGAGGAGCUUGCUCUUCUUGGAUGAGUUGCGAACGGGUGAGUAACGCGUAGGUAACCUGCCUUGUAGCGGGGGAUAACUAUUGGAAACGAUAGCUAAUACCGCAUAACAAUGGAUGACACAUGUCAUUUAUUUGAAAGGGGCAAUUGCUCCACUACAAGAUGGACCUGCGUUGUAUUAGCUAGUAGGUGAGGUAAUGGCUCACCUAGGCGACGAUACAUAGCCGACCUGAGAGGGUGGUCGGCCACACUGGGACUGAGACCCGGCCCAGACCGCUACGGGAGGCAGCAGUAGGGAAUCUUCGGCAAUGGGGGCAACCCUGACCGAGCAACGCCGCGGGAGUGUAGAAGGUUUUCGGAUCGUAAAGCUCUGUUGUAAGUCAAGAACGGGUGUGAGAGUGGAAAGUUCACACUGUGACGGUAGCUUACCAGAAAGGGACGGCUAACUACGUG
rnacentral:rRNA from 1 species